rnacentral:pre_miRNA from 1 species
AACAGUAAGAGUUUAUGUGCUGUGGACAGUGGGUCAGCACAUAAACUCCUACAGUUCA